rnacentral:lncRNA from 1 species
CCAAAAACAAAAAUUCAUGGCUAAUUAUCCACCUGAUGUAAAGGACCCAAUCCAAAUUUAUGCCACUCUGGCAGAAGAAGAGGGUAUUUAACUGUGAGCAAUGCUGAAUGUGAAUGAAGUGUUAGGCUUAUGAAAAUUAGUGAGAAUUUAGGAGACUAAAGCUGUUUGAAGAUUUUAAAGAUGAUCAUAUCAAACAGCCAAGACACACCUGUUGGUGUUUCAACAAGGAUGCUUCAGAAAUGCUGUAUGAACAAAACCAGGAGGAUAAAUUUUCACAGGUGCAGCUGCCCAGGUGCUGACAGUGGGGCUACUGUGUGGCCGUUGAAUGAAGCGAUGCCAGGGCUGCCCCAUGCCGACCCCAAGGGCCCCACUGCAGGACACAGCCGGGCCCCUCACCCAAGAUGGCAGCGCCUCAGGAAAGCCAGAGGAAGGGAGGGCAAACACCGCACAGCAGGGGGCGGUGAGGGGAGCGGUGUGAGGAACGGCCCUGCACAGAUGGCAAAGAGAGGAGAGGGAGCAGCAAGAGUUGUCCUGGCUGUCAAGAUUUCCCUGAAGCUUGUGCAGAGACCAUGUUGGAGCAGGUAUUCAUGUUGCAGCCAUGAAGAACCCCACACUGGAGCAGAUCAGAGUUCUUCUCUGUUAGUACCAGUGAAGAAGAAAUAA